UACGGAGGGUGCGAGCGUUGUCCGGAAUCACUGGGCGUAAAGGGCGCGUAGGCGGCUUGGGAAGUCCGUGGUGAAAGCUCGUGGCUCAACUACGAGUCGGCCAUGGAUACUCCUAAGCUCGAGUCGACUAGAGGCAGAUGGAAUUCCGGGUGUAGCGGUGGAAUGCGUAGAGAUCCGGAAGAACACCGGUGGCGAAGGCGGUCUGCUGGGGUCGAACUGACGCUGAGGCGCGACAGCGUGGGGAGCAAACAGG
rnacentral:rRNA from 2 species